UUAAUAAUUAUAACGCACAGUAUGUGAAGUUAUUUAAACCAUAAUAAUAGUAGUGAUAAUAAUAAUGAUAAUGAUAAAUUAAAAUAGUAAUGAUAAUUACAAUAUAUAAAUAAUAGUAAUAUUGACAAUAAUAAUGAUCAAUAAUAAUAAAAAUAAUUGUCAUAGUAGUAUAUAAAAUAAUAUAUCUGGUACGUGGUAGUGGGUGAAUACAUACCUCGUGUUUCUAAUCUCUUUCAGAAUAUGAAAACCCGAAUAAACAUUAAAGACACAAAAUAUUACUUGAAACAUUAGGAUUAUUUGUUGAAAACGAGUUUAAAUUGACAGACGAACUCUUUUGAGAAAUUUAAAAUUUUUAGUAACUUAUUUUUUGACUAAGUUGACACUAAAAUUUCAUUUUUUUUAUAUUUUAUUAUAGUUUUUAAAGAAAAAUGCAGAGGUUGCUAAGCCAACCUUACUCAAAAUAUUGGCAGUGACUUUUCAAAAGAGUUGGCCGAUUAUGACAAAAAAAGAUUUUUUCCUUGGUGAUAGUCACGUGUUUUUUGCGAAAGUCGAAAUGUUAAAACUACUUCUAAAGGAUUGACAAAUAACAAGACAACAUAAAUUUAAUAAUUAAGUAAAGUUAUCUAAAAAAAGAGAUUCAAUAACAAGAGUUAGUAUCAUUCUAAAACUCAAUAUGACAAGUACAAAUUAAAUUCAAAGAAGAUAAGAGAUACUGGACUCCAUUUAGGAGCUUGGGCUUCUAAUUUCUGACUCCGAGGCUCUGGUGAUCCUAGUAGCGAUUGACCCAAUAUUUUUUAUCAAAACGAGUUCCGUUGUGAAACUCCAACUCCCGAGUGUACAUAUGAAAUAAGGAAAGAAAAUAAAAUUAGAGAGGGCAUGUAACUUCAUAAUUAGAAAGAAAGGUAUUCAGUGAACACAAUAAACUCAACAUGAAAAUACAUCAAAAUGAAUAGCUUGCAUUUAGCCUUUAUUCGUAUGCAGAUGAAGAUCAUAUUCUACACAAUAGACUAUUCUCAAAUAGAAUAUUACUAUUCGGCAAAUAGAUAUUCCUCAUUUCCUUUUAAACUCAGGGGAGUAAUAAACUUGAAUCAAAUUGGCCUAGACGAUAAUUCGACGGAAUAUUAGCGCAAGACUUCAGGUAAAUUCAAUUGAAAAGAAAUAAAAAUUGUUGGGUAUAGUCUCUUCAUCAUGUUAAAGGGAAUCAACACAAUUUAAUUUGAAUAUAUUUUCAUGUAGUAGCAAAUCCUAGCAAACAUAUACUACAUGACUGAUGACUUAAAUACCAUACCAAAAUCUACUAAAAUUAUUAUUAUUAUUAUUAAUAUACAGAUUCACAAUUUUUAUUCACACAUCAUGGAAGAUUAAUAGAUAGAUAAAAGAAAUGAGAUGCAAGACUCAUUUUAAGAUUACUACACCAAAAACUCAAAGAACUAGAAAAGCCAAAGAAAUAAUAACCUUAUAAAAAGCGAGAUGGCAAAAAUACAUGAAAGAAAUAUGAUUUGGAAUCUGCGGUGUAUUAUGCACGAAAACAGGGCAUAGAAGCACCCUUUAAUACUAGGCACAUACCAAACAAUAGUAGGCGACAAUUUCCUACCAAGUCUAGUAAAAAAUGCAUCUAUUCUUAAAAGAAAAGCUCAAUAAUCAAACUAAAAACCACAGAGGGGAAACAGGAGCUCGGAUCGUUGCCGAGACAACCAAACCAAGCACUCCCCUCAAACGUUACUACUUGCAAAUGGAAGUACCAGUGAACUAAACAUGGGAAAGAAAUCAAUUUUUUUUUAUAUAGCCGAAUCUCAUAAUUUUAGCACUCGAGUUUACAUGGGUUGCCAGCACAAAACACAUAUAGUCACGUAUUAGCCGAGAUUUUCUUUUUUAGAAUUCCCUGUUUGUCUAACCUAUGAUUUUUUUUUUUGCACAAAAACUUGAAAAAAAAAAAGCAACCACCCUUGAGAAUCAUGUUUAAUUUCAUGAAAAUUCUGGGAUCACUGAACAUGGAAAACAAACAUAUAGUACUAGUACAACAACUAUAUUCCUCAACUUCCAAUUUUCUACAACCAUUAUGGUAAAUACAAUUUUUUUCUUAAUAUGCUCGUUGAUUUUCUAAUUUUGAUGUAGUAUAUAAUUAGAAGCAGUAAAUAAAAAUAAACCAUGUUCAUCAAUUCCAGCUUUUUUUGGGUAGAACAAUAAUAACAUCAAAAGGGGAUAAGCAAACACACACGUUCUUUGAAGCGUAUCCGAUGAAAUUUGCACUAUUUGGUUUCCAAACGUCUCAAAACUAGGUUCAAAUCCGACUUUUCUGUUUUUUUAGGGAGGACAAAAUAUGAAGUAAAAUAUGACGAAAGGGGAUAAACUUCCAUCAAUUUACACAAACCUUUAAAACUAAAACAAUUUUCAGUUCUAAAAAAAAUAAAAGAAGUAAAACAAAGUCAAUCAAUUUUCAUAAACCUACACCUACACGUUGCUACUGUUACCCUACUAGAUCAAAGAAAUUUGUAAGUCUUGUUCAAGUGGCACCUCCCGACUUAUACGGACUAACACGGACACAUUUAAUAUAUGUUCAAGAACGUGACAAGUAGAAACAUAGAAUGGAAACUUUUGCAUUACUAGGACACUAAUGAGUGACUUCUACGUUCAUAUGAGAUAAGAGGAUGAACACGUCUUUUCCAAAAUAUUUCUUAUGACUAUACACAAAGUGCACACAUAGGAACGAGAAUGGGCAAUUUUGACGACUUCGGAUUUAAACAAAUACCGAAUUUGAACAUCCAAUAUUUUAAAAUAUAUAAUUCCUAAGCCAAAUAUAUGAAGACGUAGAAAAUCACCCUUUUUCAACAACCGACAAUAUAACACACCAUCGACAAAAGUUUCCAAUCUUUAUUUCCGAAGAACAAGACUCCCGACGACAUUCUCAUCCCUUUUUUAAAAAAAAACAAUAUCAUUCUAUUUGAAUCCUAACAUGAUUUCAGCUGACUUAAACACAAUCAUGAGGAAAGAAUUUGGUCGAGAGCGUCAUGUUUCUUUUCAAAAGAGGAUUCGCUUUGGUCAAAAUAGAACAAUAAACAACCCCAGGCAGAUUCAGAUGUACAGUAAAUAAAGUUGAAAUGGGAUAUUAAACUUCGUCAUGACCCAAAUUCGAAGCAGGGAACACCAACACUAAUAUGUCUUUGAAUCUAAAAUAACACAGACAAGCAUUUAUCGACCCAACACGUAACUUUCGAAAUCCAAAUCUGGAUUCAUUCACCAAGGACAGCUUAACUAAUGCAAAUUUAAACCAUAUCAUCCUUAAGUAAUUGCUUAGCAAAUAAAUAACAUAAAAUUGAAUUGAAACCACAACGAGGUUACAUAUUCACAUAUUUUAACGCGGGACACCAGUAGCCGAGACAAUUCUCAACGAAACCAAAGGCCUCAAGCUCAAAGCAAGGAAUACCAAUACUGAUAUAAACUUGACUCCGAAACAAACAACAUGUUCACAUAUUUACACUCAAAUUGAUAUAACUCCUCAAAACCAAAAUUAUAUUCAUCGGUAGAACAACGCAAUCUCAUUGAUCGUGAAAGCAAAAUCAUAUUUUCAUAGAACUAGAAAAAAAUCAAAAGGAAAGUCUCACACCUUUUCUGGUGCAACGAAACCGAGGCUUCAACGUCGAGUUCUUGGUGACUAUAAACUCAGCUAUGGGACUCCAAACUUGGAUCAAACAAAAGAAAACAACAAUUUUGAGACUUUUUGGGCGAAUUUCUUACUACGUGAACUCAAUUUCUCUCCGUUUUCCUUUUGUUUUUUCACUCUUCUUCAAACUCUCUUUUUCUCUCUCAAUUUUUUCUUUCUCCUCGACACCCAAAAAUCUGCCUCUACAAACCUUUUUGUUCGGCUAUUUAUAGGCCAAAAUUCAAACUUCAAAGUUUGAAUCAAAUUAAAGAAAACAUAGGGGGAAUUCAAAAUUUGAACCCCCCAAACUUCUGAAAAACGUCCAACUUGGAAGCCAUCAAUGGCGGAUUUGACCACAUCUUGACUUUUCCGCAUCAAAACAGUGCCCGUUUUUACAGUAAUAAUGGAUUCGGUGGAUUUUCGGGGUGGGGGAGAUGGGUUGCGCAAAGAGUAGGUGGAGUUUUUCGGCUAGCAUUUAACCUUUGGGUGGUGGAGAAUGGAGAAGGGAGAAGAUAAAAUAGAGAAGAAGAGGUGAAGGUCGAUGGUAUGGUUGUCUUUCUGGGAAAAGCUGAUUGACACUAUACACUGUGCUGCUUGGAAAAAUAACACGCGUGAU
rnacentral:lncRNA from 1 species